rnacentral:rRNA from 1 species
AGAGUUUGAUCAUGGCUCAGAACGAACGCUGGCGGCACGCCUAACACAUGCAAGUCGAGCGCUUCCCUUCGGGGAGGAGCGGCGGACGGGUUAGUAACGCGUGGGAACAUACCCUUUACUAUGGAAUAGCCUUUGGAAACGAAGAGUAAUACUAUAUACGCCCUUCGGGGGAAAGAUUUAUCGGUGAAGGAUUGGCCCGCGUUAGAUUAGAUAGUUGGUGGGGUAACGGCCUACCAAGUCGACGAUCUAUAGCUGGUUUGAGAGAAUGAUCAGCAACACUGGGACUGAGACACGGCCCAGACUCCUACGGGAGGCAGCAGUGGGGAAUCUUAGACAAUGGGCGCAAGCCUGAUCUAGCGAUGCCGCGUGAGUGACGAAGGCCUUAGGGUCGUAAAGCUCUUUCACCAGGGAAGAUAAUGACGGUACCUGGAAAAGAAACCCCGGCUAACUCCGUGCCAGCAGCCGCGGUAAUACGGAGGGGGUUAGCGUUGUUCGGAAUUACUGGGCGUAAAGCGUACGUAGGCGGAUUAGUAAGUUAGAGGUGAAAUCCCAGGGCUCAACCCUGGAACUGCCUUUAAUACUGCUAGUCUUGAGUUCGAGAGAGGUGAGUGGAAUUCCGAGUGUAGAGGUGAAAUUCGUAGAUAUUCGGAGGAACACCAGUGGCGAAGGCGGCUCACUGGCUCGAUACUGACGCUGAGGUACGAAAGUGUGGGGAGCAAACAGGAUUAGAUACCCUGGUAGUCCACACCGUAAACGAUGAAUGCCAGACGUCAGCAAGCAUGCUUGUUGGUGUCACACCUAACGGAUUAAGCAUUCCGCCUGGGGAGUACGGUCGCAAGAUUAAAACUCAAAGGAAUUGACGG